GCAGAAUCUUGUGUGCUUGCUGCGUGGUGUCCUCCCAUGCAGUUGCACGAAAUCAUUCUUUUAUUCCUGAUCCUGUUUCCUGUUUAUUUCAUGAACUUGUCUGUAGGCAGCAUGGUGCUGGGCGCUGCAGGGGCUCAUUAAUGCGUGAGACACAGAUUCCACUCAGGAGAGAGAAGACGAACACAGACACAGUACACAGUGGGAAGGGGCACUGCCAUGUCUGCAGCCAGAGAGCCCUUUCAGAAUCUGACCCAAAAGAUGGCCAGUGUUCUAAGAAAAAGCACAUAUGCUUACGAUGUGCAAACAGCUGAAGGUGUUCUUUCAACUAUAGUAAAAGGGGUGUCUCGGUGGCCACAGGCGGCCCAGAUGAAGAGACCUGUCUGGGCCGCAGAGAGAAGAGGAGUCUGGAGGCCCCCCGAGCCAGGCUGAGCCAGCCGCUAGGGGCACGGAGCAGUGCCCACCUUGCGCCCAGUGUGGCCAGAGCUUCGGCCGGAAGGAGCUCAGUGCGCCGCACCAGCGCGUGCAUCGUGGCCCCCGGCCUUUCGCUGGUGCUCAGUGUCCCAAGAGCUUCACGCAGCGGACCACCCCCGCCAGCCACCGUCGGGCGCACGUGGCCGAGUGCACCUACACCCGCGCCCAAUGCGGCAAGACCUUCCUCCAGCAGUCGACGCUCACACCCACUACUGCGCGCACAUCGGGGAGAAGCCCUACGAGUGCGUCAAGCUCUUUGGCCGCCUGUCCACGCUGCUGGAGCACCGGCACACGCACACGGGUUCCCAUGAUCAGUGGUGAAAUAUAGUGAUUUUCACCUGUGCUUCCAUUCUGAAGUUCUGGAAAGAAGUACUGGAUGGACUGAAGUCCAGGACAACGUCCCAAAGAAAGGCAGAGUCCAGGUGGGCUUGGAGGACCAAGCCCUGGAUGAGCACUGGAGGGCAGAGGCCUCAGUGUCCAGCACUGUGCCCUGCACAUGGAAAGCCCCUACGUUUGUGGAAUGAAUGAAUA
rnacentral:lncRNA from 1 species